GCCGGGGUAGCUCAGUUGGUAGAGCAACUCACUUGUAAUGAGUAGGUCAUCGGUUCAAAUCCGAUCCCCGGCUCCA
rnacentral:tRNA from 1 species